rnacentral:lncRNA from 1 species
GGAAAGCUCAUUGUCUGGUGCCCUGCAUUAAUAUAUAACACACUGUAUAUAGGCAUGCAUGCACAACCACGUGUGAAGUGUAGUACUGUAGCUUAUCCCAACUACGGAUAUUAAUUUAUAUCGACGUGGGAUCCAUAUAUUUCGUGGACGACCGACUGUCUUCAGCACUACUAACAUAUUUGAUAAUCCGUCCAUGCUCCAUCUUUGAUUUGUCUACUUCACAACCCUUGUAGCCAUGUACGCAUUGGGGCCCUAAGCAUUAUGAAUCUUCCCCCGG